rnacentral:rRNA from 1 species
UACGUAGGUGGCAAGCGUUGUCCGGAUUUAUUGGGUUUAAAGGGUGCGUAGGCGGCUUUGUAAGUCAGUGGUGAAAUACGGUAGCUUAACUAUCGAGGUGCCAUUGAUACUGCAGAGCUUGAGUACAGAUGAGGUAGGCGGAAUUGACGGUGUAGCGGUGAAAUGCUUAGAUAUCGUCAAGAACACCUAUAGCGAAGGCAGCUUACUAGGCUGUAACUGACGCUGAGGCACGAAAGUGUGGGGAGCGAACAGG